CCUACGGGUGGCAGCAGUGAGGAAUAUUGGUCAAUGGGCGAGAGCCUGAACCAGCCAAGUCGCGUGAAGGAUGACGGCCCUACGGGUUGUAAACUUCUUUUGUCAGGGAGCAAUUGGGUCCACGCGUGGCCUUAUCGAGAGUACCUGAAGAAAAAGCAUCGGCUAACUCCGUGCCAGCAGCCGCGGUAAUACGGAGGAUGCGAGCGUUAUCCGGAUUUAUUGGGUUUAAAGGGUGCGUAGGCGGAAUGUCAAGUCAGCGGUAAAAAUUCGGGGCUCAACCUCGACGUGCCGUUGAAACUGGUGGUCUUGAGUGGGCGAGAAGUAUGCGGAAUGCGUGGUGUAGCGGUGAAAUGCAUAGAUAUCACGCAGAACUCCGAUUGCGAAGGCAGCAUACCGGCGCCCAACUGACGCUGAAGCACGAAAGCGUGGGUAUCGAACAGGAUUAGAUACCCCGGUAGUC
rnacentral:rRNA from 1 species